CAGAGGCCCCAAGCGUUACUGAGAAUCACUGGGUUUAAAGGGUGCGUAGGUGGUUCGUUAAGUCUGUUGUGAAAUCCCCGGGCUCAACCCGGGAACUGCUUCGGAUACUGGCGAACUUGAGGUCGGUAGGGGUCACCGGAACUGAUGGUGGAGCGGUGAAAUGCGUAGAUAUCAUCAGGAACGCCAAUGGUGAAGACAGGUGACUUGGCCGAAUCUGACACUGAGGCACGAAAGCGUGGGGAGCGAACGGGAUUAGAUACCCCGGUAGUCCACGCCCUAAACGAUGCAGACUAGAUUGCAGCGGGUCUUACCCCGUUGCGGUCGGAGCGAAAUUGUUAAGUCUGCCACCUGGGGAAGUACGGUCGCAAGGCUA
rnacentral:rRNA from 1 species